UACGUAGGGUGCAAGCGUUAAUCGGAAUUACUGGGCGUAAAGCGUGCGCAGGCGGUUCGCUAAGACAGAUGUGAAAUCCCCGGGCUUAACCUGGGAACUGCAUUUGUGACUGGCGGGCUAGAGUAUGGCAGAGGGGGGUAGAAUUCCACGUGUAGCAGUGAAAUGCGUAGAGAUGUGGAGGAAUACCGAUGGCGAAGGCAGCCUCCUGGGAUAACACUGACGUUCAUGCCCGAAAGCGUGGGUAGCAAACAGG
rnacentral:rRNA from 1 species